AUUAUUUGUAUUUAUUAAGACAUUUUUUAAGGAAAAUGACUGUUUAUUUAAAACUUCCAUUCAUCAAUCUGUAAAAUUAAUAUGAUGAACAAUUUUCAGGUUGAAUGUAUUUAUUAACCCCUUACCAGUUACCCCCCAUUUUCAGCAUAGAGACAGAAAUCACAUACCCAAACUAAAAAGGUUUCUGCUCAUGAUUCUUUCUGAUUAGAUACAUAAUCAACAUAUGUUCACAAAGCUGACACUUCAAAGUUUACUGUUCAGGAAUCAGAAUUACUCAGACUGUUAUGAUAAUAAAGAUAUAUAAACUCAAACAUAAAAACAAAAAUAGAAAUAUGAAAAACAUAUUUUUUAAAUGUAUUUAAAAAAUUGUUGAUGUAGGAUAUGUGUUUAGAAACAUAGUGUAGCUAAAGCCACAAGUCUACCAAUGCUUCAUUUGAAAUUUCAUAAUAUAAUCUGUAAACCUGUGAAUUUUAUGAAAUAUUUUCUAAGGCCAUGUCGUGUGUUUUUAUAGAAGGCUAAUCGGAUUGAUUUAUGACCCCUGUCAUCUUCUGUAAACUCACAUGUAAAGCUCUCAUUUAUGCUUUCUCAUGUUUAUUUGGCUCUGAACGAUCCUCCAUUCAUGAUUCUAUUGUUCUCACGAAACGAUCCUUUCACACCUCCGCCAGUUUUACUGUUAAAGCCAGAGUAGACGAUUUCGGAGAGGCUACCUUUGAAAGCAUAAGAUCCCACCCUCCUGCAAAUCACUCUCCAAAGCCACGCCUCCUCUGAAACACAUGACCGAGCACAGCAGAGCAGAGGCUAACCAUUGUUUCACAACGUAGCAACAGUAAGGAACUACACCGGCAUAUUCCACCUGACUGUGCUUCCUUCACACAAUAUAUUCAUAUUCAACGCAAGGAAUGAUUGACAGUUCUGUGUAUGUACUGAUUUGAUUAGCAGCAGACUAACAAUUAUACACUUGUUUUCUUGGCUUGACGUUUAGUAUAAACACACUUAAAGAUUAUAAAUAAAUGUACUUAGCAGCAUUGCUUCUGAGGGCA
ensembl:lncRNA